AACAAUAUCUAUGACUUCUUUUGUACCAGUUUCUAAAGAGCAAGUAAUCCUCUAGAGAAGGAUCCCUCAAAAUGGUGCUCUCCCUCCUCUUCCAACUCCCAUAAUCUCAGGAUAGCACCGCUAAUGACAACACUGUUUCAAGGUUUUGCUGGUCAAGGUGAACUCUAUCUACAACAAAAGGAGAGAGAAAAGAGUUAGAUAAAACAUCUAAGUGGAACAAGGGAGAAAUGAAACAAAAUGCAAGAAGACAUUUGAAGAGAUUCAAAAACAAUGAGGCUGGGAGUCCACAAAACAAAGAAAUAAACCUGCCUGAAUGGA